rnacentral:rRNA from 1 species
AACGAACGCUGGCGGCAGGCUUAACACAUGCAAGUCGAACGCGUCCUUCGGGACGAGUGGCAGACGGGUGAGUAACGCGUGGGAACCUACCUUUUGGUACGGAAUAACUCAGGGAAACUUGAGCUAAUACCGUAUGUGCCCUGUCCUUUAACGGGAUUUGGGGAAAGAUUUAUCGCCAAAGGAUGGGCCCGCGUCGGAUUAGCUAGUUGGUGGGGUAAUGGCCUACCAAGGCGACGAUCCGUAGCUGGUCUGAGAGGAUGAUCAGCCACACUGGGACUGAGACACGGCCCAGACUCCUACGGGAGGCAGCAGUGGGGAAUAUUGGACAAUGGGGGCAACCCUGAUCCAGCCAUGCCGCGUGAGUGAUGAAGGCCUUAGGGUUGUAAAGCUCUUUCGCCGGUGAAGAUAAUGACGGUAACCGGUGAAGAAGCCCCGGCUAACUUCGUGCCAGCAGCCGCAGUAAUAC